UAUGUGAUCGUCUCUCGCAUAUCAAUAAGCGGAGGAAAAGAAACUAACAAGGAUUCCCCUAGUAACGGCGAGUGAAGCGGGAAGAGCUCAAAUUUGAAAUCUUAAAGGGUUUCCCUUUACGAAUUGUAGUUUAAAGAAGUGUUUUCUGUUGAGGUUUUGGUAAAAGUUCUUUGGAAUAGGACAUCAUAGAGGGUGAGAAUCCCGUAUUUGACCUUUACUUUCAACUUUGUGAUACACUUUCAAAGAGUCGGAUUGUUUGGGAAUGCAGUCCAAAAUGGGUGGUAAAUUUCAUCUAAAGCUAAAUAUUGGCGAGAGACCGAUAGCGAACAAGUACCGUGAGGGAAAGAUGAAAAGAACUUUGAAAAGAGAGUUAAACAGUACGUGAAAUUGUCAAAAGGGAAGCGUUUGACACCAGUGUUGUUUUUCUGAAAAUCAAUUAAAGAACUGUUUAUGCUAAGUUGUUUAGACUUUAUCAGCUAUCUGCUUAGUUUUGAGCUUUUCUUUAAUGCACUUUUCAGUUAACAAGUCAACAUCAAUUUCUUUUGCUGUAAAAAAGCUUGAGGAAGGUGGCUUGAGAUUCGUCUUAAGUGUUUAUAGCCUCUUGCCUAUGCAGUCGGAGAGAUUGAGGUCUGCAGCGUAGAUCCUUCGGGGCUAAAUGCAUUUGUGCUAAGUUAUAGCAUUUUAUAGACAACUUGUUGCUAUGAUUUGUCUUGUAGCUUACUCGCUUAUGUUAUUUUACCUACGCUUAGGAUGUUGAGUCGUAGAGCACGCAG
rnacentral:rRNA from 1 species